AAAGACAUGGCGCAGUGGUAGCGCGCGGGGCCCAUAACCCCGAGGUCACUUGAUCGAAACAAGUUGCUGCUA
rnacentral:tRNA from 1 species